CGCCCAGCCCUCUGGGAGCGGGAGCGGGCCCGGCCGGGCGUCCUGCGGGGGGCCCUCGGGAGGCGGCAGCCUCUGGCUCGGGUUCACUGCUGGCUUUGGUGGAUUUUGAUGAUGACCUUGUUGUGUCUCCUCAUUUCAUAUUCCACCCAUUUAAGGGAUGAGAAAACAGCGGCCCAGAGAGGUGGUGUCACCUUGCUGGGCAGUGUGGCAGAGAUGCAGGAUCCUGGGUUGGAUCCUGGAACAUUAAAAGGACGGUAGUGGAAGAGCUGGUGAAACCCAGAUCACGUGCAGAUAAUAAUACCAAGGUCAACCUCUCAGUGUGACGAUUGUGCCACGAUUCUGUAAGAUGCUAGCAUCAGGGGACCCUGGGCAAAGAGGAGAUGGGAACUCUCACAGUCUU